rnacentral:rRNA from 1 species
AUACGAAAGGUGCAAGCGUUGUUCGGAUUUACUGGGCGUAAAGAGAGUGUAGGUUGUUUAUUAAGUCGGAUGUGAAAUCCCGGGGCUCAACCUCGGAACUGCAUUCGAUACUGGUAGACUAGAGUUCGGGAGGGGUAAGCGGAAUUCCGUGUGUAGCAGUGAAAUGCGUAGAUAUACGGAGGAACACCUGAGGCGUAGGCGGCUUACUGGACCGAUACUGACACUGAGACUCGAAAGCGUGGGUAGCAAACAGGGUUAGAAACCCUAGUAGUCC